AGAUGCUCCAACCUAAAUACUGAGAGUCUUAAAAGCCAGGCGGAAGGCUGGAGGGUGCUGGGGAAGUUCAGGCUGUCCCCAGAAGUCAACUUAUACGACCUUCAUGCUGGACUACACAUGUCAUCUCCCGGAGCAGCAGGCGGUGGCUGGGACGGCAGCACAGAGAAAGCCCGGCACAGGCUCCGCUCAGAGCCUCAGGAUGUGGGGAGGCUUCUACAGAUGACCAGCUUGGUGGCGUCAUCAUCCCCACCUGGAGGAAGGAGACCUUAUCUGGAACCAAGAGGCAUGUCUGUAAGAAACUCUUAUGAAGUUGUCGGGGUUCAAGUUGGCCUUCCUGUUGUUCAACCUGGUGGAGAAUGUUCCUGUGGGCCUUGGCAGCAAGUCAGCAUUCUUCGUUGGCAUGGAGUCCUAGGAAAAAGAGGCUCUCCACCCUGAAGCCAGUCGCAUAUCACCCCAAUAAACAGUUACAACGCCUCUGCCAACACAGGAUCCCAAA